UACGUAGGGUGCGAGCGUUAAUCGGAAUUACUGGGCGUAAAGCGUGCGUAGGCGGUUCGCUGUGUCCGAUGUGAAAUCCCCGGGCUUAACCUGGGAAUGGCGUUUGGGACUGGGAGUCUGGAGUGCGGCAGAGGAGACUGGAAUUUACGGUGUAGCAGUGAAAUGCGUAGAGAUCGUAAGGAAGGCCAGUGGCGAAGGCGAGUUCCUGGACAGUUACUGACGCUGAGGCACGAAGGCCAGGGGAGCAAACGGG
rnacentral:rRNA from 1 species